UAUGAAGGCCAGUCAACAUUUGGACCGUUGAUGUCGAAUCCGACCACGCAUGCAGACCUGAUCAUCCCAUCUCCAAUCCCCAAUCCUAUGCUUCCAAUGCCGCGGAAUCGAGCAGAGGCCACCGCCGUCGGCGUCGCCGGCCUCCCGCCGGACAUGCUAGCCCACAUCCAAGCCCGCCUGUGUGUGCGCCACCGCCUCGUCCUGCCCGGCGACACCCCGAACACAGCCACGCUCUUCUCGCUCGCGUACCGCCGCCCCGCCGUCGUGCGCGCCCCGGGGCCCGACCACCUCGUCCUCGGAUCCUCAUCCUCCCGCGGGUGGCUCGUCACCGCUGAUGCCUUCGCCCGGCCUCGCCUCGUCAACCCGGUCACCGGCGAGCAGCGGGCCCCCGGCCAUCGAGACCAUCCCCUGUGUCUUCGCGUUCGAGGAGAAGCCGUUCAUCAGGGGGGCCCCGCCGUACCCCGACGGAUUCGCAGUGACGACCCCCGGCUCGAUGCGCCGCUACUUCUACCGCAAGGUCGUCCUCUCCGACUCCGCCGCCAUCGCCAUGCUCAUCACCGAUCUACGGUACGCGGAGGGACGCGUGUGGAGGCUAGUGCCCUCGCGCCACGGCAUAACCAAGGCCGGGACCAAGUGUGCCAGGUGGCCGAGGCCGCCCUCGCGUGACAGCAUCGAGGCCGCCGUCCUCCACGAGGGCAGGUUCUACUCGAUCACUUACUCCGGCGAGGUGGAGGCGUGGGAGCAGGACGCCGAUGGUACCGGCGUGUUCACGAGUGUGGUGGUAGCGCCAGGGCAGCCCUGGUGCGACCACCGCAAGUACCUGGUGACAGCCGGGUGGUCGGCUGAUGCUCGUGCUCAAGCAGUCUGAUACGAUCAAGCAUCGGUUGACAUUCAAGGUGAAGGUCCUUACGCUGGCGCCGAGCAAUGGAAGGCGGCGGGCGACAUCAGCGACGCCGCGCUGUUUGUCGGGGUGAACGGUUCGCUGUGCGUGUCAAGGAGGGAGCACCUGAGCUUAGGGCCGGCUGCGUCUACCACACCGCCGACGAUCUGUCGCUGUACUACCUCGACAACCAGCCGGGGUGUUCAGCCUCAAGGACGUCAGGGAGGAGAAGGUCGAGGGCCUUGGGCCGCACCGGAACAAGCCACCAUCGGCGUGGUUCACGCUUUGCAUCCCAUGACAGGUUUCAUGAUUGAUUCGGAUUUGGUAGCUUGGGUGGGUUAACUUGCAUUUCACAAAACAUCAAACAAGGGUGAGUGGCCAUUUUAGCUAGGUCGCUUUCAAGUUUUUCUGAGGAAACAUUGGGUGGGUUAAUCAGUUUCAACUUUAUGCUAUGAUGGUGAUUUCAACCAAGAUUGUUAAUCAAUUAAUUGUUGCCUUGUGAGGUUUCUGGAUUAACAGGUUUAAUUUCAGAAGAGAGCAGUAGUUAUAAUGAUCUAUUCCGAACUGCAACCAAGCUAACAGCAAGCUGCACUUGUUUUCUAGCCCUUUAGGUUAUCAAAGGGAUGCAUUGCAGUGUUGUAGCAUGGUUAUCACACCCUGCCUCUAGCAGGCUGCUGGAUAUCAUAUUCAAAUCAUAUCUUCAUGUAGUUUGUGAAAAAGAAUCAGAUAUACAUUUGUUAAUUAAGACCCCACUUAUGCCCAGCUAACCCACCUAAGUUUGCAGCAGGGCUAGCUAAGGUAGUGUACCCUAUUUAGCUUAUGAAUACAGCACUAUAUGCAUGUGCUGCUGAUGUUGCCUGGGUGACAUUUUUUUUAAGACAGUGGGGUUUCAGAAGUAUGAAAACAAUUUAGCUUGCAGGGUUCAGACUUGGUAUUAAUUUGGUCACGUUGAUGAUCAAGGUUAGUUUACUGGUUGAUGAUCAAGGUUAGUUUGGGCACUUCAGAUGUGAGGGGCAGGGUGUUGAGAGGGUACAGUACAUUAGCUGCCAAAUCGGUGGCGUUUGGUUUGCAUUCUUAAGCAAGCAUUUGAUGCCUUUGAUUAUCAAAAGGAACCAAACUGUUGUUUUUGCCCAUUUCUGUUGCUGCUGGAGUAACAUCCUCUGCUUUCUUUUACGUCCCAGCAGAGCAUCACUCCUACUGCAGUGCACUUUUAUCAAGAUAUAUACAUACUGUACUACAUAGUGAGGUUUCGGUAAUAACUAAAUAUAGCACUUUGGGAACAAAAUAUAAUUUAAGAUAUGCAACAAGGAACAUGGAGCAUCAUAAUUUUAAGAUAUGUUGGUAGCAUAGCACCCCACCUCCGCAAAGCGGACAAGCUGUGAGCUCAUUGGCACCGUGGUUGUUUCUUCCUGGAAGUUUCCCACAAGCUGUGAGGGACGAUUCAUGUAGACAUAUCCAAGGUUGUUAGCUUCAUUUCGAUCAUUCUCCUGUGCUUUUGGCAGUGAGCGCUUGUCGGCGGCAAGCAGCACCGAUCCAGGUGAGCAUGUCCCCCUUGAACUGAGCCUUCUUCUGCAGCUUGAUUUCUGCUUCUGCGUUCCACAUACUUUUUUUUUGCUUCACUGCGCUGUUAAAAUUAGAAUACAGCGAGCUAUUUUGGCUUAGUACCAACUUCAGUUCAAACUUGAGGAAAAAAAUGAUGAUUGCAAAGCUUAGUGUGCAGGAAUCAGAUUUAAUUUUGUCCAAAGAUGAUUGCAACCAAGAUUAUUAAUUGAUUAUUUCCUUGUGAGGUUUAAUUCAGAACUGAACAGAAGAGAGCAGUUAUUAUAAUUAUGUAUACCAAACUGCAACCAAGCUAACAAGCUAACAAGCCGCACUUGAUUUCCAGGAUCAAUAGAUUAUUUCGAAAGGACAUUAUUGCAGUGUGCAGCAGAGCUAGCUAAGGUUUUCGUUCAACGGGAGUAAGGGAAACAACUGGAGUAAAUAGCAAAAAGCUACCACAUUACAGGCUAGGGACAAAAAUAGACGUCCAGACUCCAACCACCAUGAGUUUAUCUUCCUUUGGGAAAUUGGGAUUGUUAGUGCCCUCAAUGAUUGCAUCACUUUGUAUCAGUGGGCCAAAUCUGCCAUUUCAUCUCUUCACUCCAGAUGGAGUAGUUCACAGGAGGAGCAAAGUCUCCAGGAUCGUGUGUGUAUUACAGUUGGAGAGUGGCCUACAACUUCUCAGGGAUACUCUUUCCUGCAAUGCAUGACCACACUAAUAAAGCAGAGUGUGGCAAAGCCAUGAACACGGUGUGGCCAUGCUCCUCCCGAAUCUGAAGGAUGCAGUGUCUGAGGCCGAGGAGUUCACAUGGUACGAGAAGAAGGUGCAAAUAGAGGGUGAUACAAGCCAGUCUCCUUUCACUGAAUUCUUUGAUACGGUCGUCCCCGGCAGCUUCAACAAGCAGUUUCGUGGACACUUGGAGGUAGCUAAUGUUGGCAUCCUAAGCAAGGAUGAUGCAGCAGAAGCAGAACUGAAGAAUAAGAAGGAUCUUGACCAGUUGACACUGAAGGUGCAUCCACGGAGGCCUCAAACGAUCCAGGAUAAUGAGUUAGAACUGCUUCACAUUCUGCAACCUCCUAUAACUCUCAAGUCUCUGUUCCUCCAGAAUUUUGCGAGAUGUUAGCAUCGGCAACAACUGAAAAGUUUGGGGAUUUCCAUUUCCUUGAAGAACUGCAAAUGGUCCGUUGUCCAAACAUUUGCACCCAAAGAUUGGUAUCGCCGUCCCUUAAGAAGCUCAGCAUGUGGGGUUCUGGUCUCUUUAGCCACAUUGAGUGCUGCCCCCUCACCUACUUUCAUUUGAAAUGUGAGUUUGUCAUGUCCAUCCAAUUACAAAUGUGGUGUCUUCCAGCUCUACGGAAGUUGCACAUUGAGUGCAUAUCUCUUACAUCAAUUGGAGGCUCCGCAAACCUUUCCAUUUCUGCAGACACCGGCAGCAUUACUACAUUCUCAUCCCUUGAUGUCCUAACAGUUACAUGCUGUGAUAAAUUGUCAACCCUUGAUGGCUCCUAACACAAGAAUACCUACCUUCUAUUGAGUACAUUCACGUCGACAGUUGCCACGAGUUACUGUCCUUGCCAGGUGAAAGGUUUAGGAGUUCUGCUUAUCUUAAAGAUCUGGUGAUUAUUGAGUGCCGAAGUCUCAACUGGCAAAGGGGAUUGGUAUUGCCAUCAUCUCUCCGAAGGCUCAGCUUAGAGUGGUGUGGGGAUAUCUCUCCAUAUGUUCCCAGCUGCCUACGAAACCUCACUGAGGAUUGCUCGAUGCCCAGGUGACAUUAGGCAUAGUAAUCUUACAUCACUUGAGUUGUUGGAGAUUUGGGGUUGUCCAGACCUAGUUUGAUAUGGUGGAGCAAUGGCAGUUGCAAAAAUGAAGAAUGUGGUGAUAUACAGGUGUCCAAAGUUGAAGGAAGCGGAUCAGAAGAUCCUGCCCAAGUACGAGGACGACUAGUUGACAGGCGACUGCGCUGGAACCUGUAGCUGCAAUACCUGGGAGCUGGAAGACCUGGGGACAACGAGAUGUCAUGCCCUUGGUCUCGCCGUCUCUGUCUAUAUAUCCGUGACUGCUUCUCCCUUAUUGCAGUUACAUUCUGUCAAUUAUUAUUUCCCAUACCUGUGGCGAUAACUAUGAGUUUCCACUUUGGACAGUGAUAAACUUGUUUAACCUAUGAAACGACAGAGUUGCCGUGUGUCUGUAAGACAUGUCGUAACUGUAUGAAUUUGUUUGUUUCGUUGCAUCUUAACUCCGGAAUAUGUCUACCUGCCA